rnacentral:sRNA from 1 species
AGCAUCUGCUAUAUGUGGCUCCACAUGGGUGACUGGAUUACUUGAAUAGUCUAGACUUCUCUUACAUCAUUAUAGAUUUUUUAGUAAUUUUUGUUCUCAUACCUAGUUGUUCAGGCUUGCCAGGUCGUGGGUAAUGUGACCACAGUGAGAAUGCCUCACCACUGAGAAAGAAUCCGCAGACUCGUACACAAUUACCAUUUAGAAUGGUGAAUACUCUCCCAGGAAUGGAAGAAAUACUUGCCCUCUUCCAGUAAUUUCAGGAACAGCCAGACUAGAGGUUGAAUGUAAUUUUUACAAAAUUUGAUGAAGUCCAGAAAUCUGGAAACAUGAUACAAUCUGCAAAUGAUAAAAAUUUCGACGAUGAAGAUUCUGUGGAUGGUAACAGACCUUCCUCUGCUAGUUCUACAUCAUCCAAGGCUCCACCAAGUUCUCGGAGAAACGUUGGAAUGGGAACUACCCGCCGGCUUGGUUCAUCCACCCUUGGAUCCAAGUCUUCAGCUGCAAAAGAAGGAGCUGGUGCUGUUGAUGAAGAGGAUUUUAUUAAAGCAUUUGAUGAUGUACCUGUAGUA